rnacentral:rRNA from 1 species
UAACUGAAGAGUUUGAUCAUGGCUCAGAUUGAACGCUGGCGGCAGGCUUAACACAUGCAAGUCGAGCGGGGGAAGGUAGCUUGCUACCGGA